UUUUUUUUUUUUUAAUUGUUUUUUUUUUCCGACAAAAAUCGAUUUGUGUAACUAGAAUCCUAGAUAUGUAGGACCGCUCAUAUUUGGUGGGAAUUAAAAUAAAAUUUUUAAUAAAUUUUAUAAAUGAUUGAAAAGUUGUAAUUCCCAUGAAAUGCGUAAUUAAAAUUAAACUUUUUUCUGAAACACUUUAUGACAAUGAAUGAAGAAGCGAUCCCACCAAUUCAUGAUGUCUUUAGCCUAUAUAGGGAUUUUUUUUUUUUUUUUCCAACGAGACACUCAAACUGGCAACUCAUAAUGGCCCGUGUUGGAUAAAAGUAUCAUUAAAGAAGGCAAGGUGAGCCUGUGAGGUACAUUUGAUAAAUGAAGGUUGCAUGCCAUAUGGUCCUUCAACAUCCUGCAACGAACCAAUUCUUUUGCACAAAUAUGUUAUUUAUUGUAAAUGUGUAUUGCAAAGUAUCAAUUUUUGAUAAUUAGCUGAAUUUUAGGGAAAACAAUCGUGCUUAGGCACUACCG
rnacentral:lncRNA from 1 species